rnacentral:rRNA from 1 species
GACGGGGGAGGCAAGCGUUGUCCGGAAUUAUUGGGCGUAAAGAGCGCGUAGGUGGUUUGUCAAGUCAUUUGUGAAAACUUUAGGCUUAACUUAAAGAUUGCAAGUGAUACUGGCAUACUUGAGCACAGCAGAGGAAAGUGGAAUUCCUGGUGUAGCGGUGAAAUGCGCAGAUAUCAGGAAGAACACCAGUGGCGAAGGCGGCUUUCUGGGCUGUUGCUGACACUGAGGCGCGAAAGCUAGGGGAGCGAACAGG